AGCGGUUACAAAAUUUUCUCACUUCUAACAUUGCUUUCACUCUCUCACAUCAAAAAUCAUUUCCUUCACUCUCUCACCAAAACACUUUUCUCUCUCUCUCUCUCUCUGAACUCAUCUCUUCGCUCUCCCUCCCCUCUCACCAGAACCUUCACUUUCCUCCCUAUCCAUGAAAACUCUCAAUCACAAAUCAAAAUUCAGAUCAAAACCUUCAAUCCUCUGAAACUGCUCUCCCCUCAGCCGAAAAUCGAAUCGUUGGGUCAUCUUCAAUCAGAGAUGAUGAACAACACCGAGACCGAAGCGAAGCGCAGACGCGGUGUGUUAAACUAA